GAUGAACGCUGGCGGCGUGCCUAAUACAUGCAAGUCGAGCGAACGGACGAGAAGCUUGCUUCUCUGAUGUUAGCGGCGGACGGGUGAGUAACACGUGGAUAACCUACCUAUAAGACUGGGAUAACUUCGGGAAACCGGAGCUAAUACCGGAUAAUAUUUUGAACCGCAUGGUUCAAAAGUGAAAGACGGUCUUGCUGUCACUUAUAGAUGGAUCCGCGCUGCAUUAGCUAGUUGGUAAGGUAGCGGCUUACCAAGGCAACGAUGCAUAGCCGACCUGAGAGGGUGAUCGGCCACACUGGAACUGAGACACGGUCCAGACUCCUACGGGAGGCAGCAGUAGGGAAUCUUCCGCAAUGGGCGAAAGCCUGACGGAGCAACGCCGCGUGAGUGAUGAAGGUCUUCGGAUCGUAAAACUCUGUUAUUAGGGAAGAAAAUAUGUGUAAGUAACUGUGCACAUCUUGACGGUACCUAAUCAGAAAGCCACGGCUAACUACGUG
rnacentral:rRNA from 1 species